rnacentral:rRNA from 1 species
CCUAGUGGAUCCUGCCAGUAGCAUAUGCUUGUCUCAAAGAUUAAGCCAUGCACGUGUAAGUACACACGGCCGGUACAGUGAAACUGCGAAUGGCUCAUUAAAUCAGUUAUGGUUCCUUUGAUCGCUCCAUAUGUUACUUGGAUAACUGUGGUAAUUCUAGAGCUAAUGCAUGCCGACGAGGGUGGACCUCCCAAGAUGCAUGCAUUUUUCAGACCAAGACCAAUCCAGGGCCGAUCGCACAUCCCUGUGAUGGCGAUGAUGCAUUCGGAUGUCUGCCCUAUCAACUUUCAAUGGUACUUUCUGUGCCUACCAUGGUGACCACGGGUAUAGGGGAAUCAGGGUUCGAUUCCGGAGGGGGAGCAUGAGAAACGGCUACCACAUCCAAGGAAGGCAGAAGGCGCGCAAAUUACCCACUCCCGACUUCGGGAGGUAGUGACGAAAAAAAACAAUACAGGACUCUUUCAAGGCACUGUAAUUGGAAUGUGUACACUUUAAACUCUUUAACAAGUACCCAUUGGAGGGCAAGUCUGGUGGCAGCAGCUGCGGUAAUUCCAGCUCCAAUAGCAUAUAUUAAAGUUGCUGCAGUUAAAAAGCUUGUAGUUGGUUCUUGGGAUCGAGCUAGUGGUCCGCUGCAAGGCGAGCUACCGCCUGUCCCAGGCCCUGCCUCUCGGUGCUCCUUUGAUGCUCUUGACUGAGUGUCCUAGGGGUCCGAAGCGUUUACUUUGAAAAAAUGUGUGUUCCAAGCAGGCCAGUUGCCUGAAUACUUCAGCUAGGAAUAAAAGAAUAGGACUCCGGUUCUAUUUUGUUGGUUUUCGGAACUGGGGCUAUGAUUAAGAGGGACGGCCGGGGGGAUUCGUAUUGUGCCGCUACAGGUGGAAUUCUUGGACUUACGCAAGACGAGCAAAAGCAAAAUAAUUACCCAAGAAUGGUUUCAUUAAUCAAGAAUGAAUGUCUGAGGUUCGAAGACGAUCCGAUACCGUCGUAGUUCCGACCAUAAACUAUGCCGAUUAGCGAUCUGGCUGCGUUAUUUUCCAUGACCCGCUGAGCAGCUUCCAGGAAACCAAAGUCUUUGGGUUCCGGGAGGAGUAUGGUUGCAAAGCUGAAACUUAAAGGAAUUGAAGGAAGGGCACCACCAGGAGGGGAGCCUACACCUUAUUUUGACUCAACACCGGAAACCUCACCCAGCCCGGACACAGAAAGGAUUGAUAGAUUGAUAGCUCUUUCUUGAUUCUGUGGGUGGUGGUGUAUGGCCGUUCUUAGUUGGUGGAGCGAAUUGGUUUGGUUAAUUCCGAUAAUGAAUGAGACUACUCCAUGCUAACUAGUUACGUGACACCCCCCAGCGGUCGGCGUUAAACUUCUUAGAGGGACAAGUGGCGUUCAGUCACACGAGAUCAAACAAUAACAGGUCUGGGAUGCCCUUAGAUGUGCCAAGCCCUGGGGAACCCUCCCGGUCCUCCUCAUCACCUGCGUCUUCAAUGGAGGUCUCUUGGGCCUCUGAUUCCUUUUUCUUGUGUGGUUUCCGUGGUUCUUUGACUUUCUUUUCCUUCUUCUGAUGAAGAUAGGGGCAAGCUCCCUUGGAGGCCACCUUGGCCUGACAAGUCACCCAAGACUAGGAGGACUCCGAGGAGCAAGCCCCCUAAUUCAGGGAAAAAGCCUCUUCGACACAAAAAACCCUGAGAGUAGCUACGUUCAGAGUCACAUCUGCAGAUUAGAUCAGGCAAUGGUCUUCUUUUCAGGAUUCAGAAGAUG